rnacentral:rRNA from 1 species
GAUGAACGCUGGCGGCGUGCCUAACACAUGCAAGUCGAACGGAGUCGUUUUGGAAAUCUCUUCGGAGAUGGAAUUCUCGACUUAGUGGCGGACGGGUGAGUAACGCGUGAGCAAUCUGCCUUUAAGAGGGGGAUAACAGUCGGAAACGGCUGCUAAUACCGCAUAAAGCAUCAAAUUCGCAUGUUUUUGAUGCCAAAGGAGCAAUCCGCUUUUAGAUGAGCUCGCGUCUGAUUAGCUGGUUGGCGGGGUAACGGCCCACCAAGGCGACGAUCAGUAGCCGGACUGAGAGGUUGAACGGCCACAUUGGGACUGAGACACGGCCCAGACUCCUACGGGAGGCAGCAGUGGGGAAUAUUGCGCAAUGGGGGAAACCCUGACGCAGCAACGCCGCGUGAUUGAAGAAGGCCUUCGGGUUGUAAAGAUCUUUAAUCAGGGACGAAACAAAUGACGGUAC